rnacentral:rRNA from 1 species
AUAGCUUGCUAUAAUUGUCAGCUAAGUGGCGCACGGGUGAGUAAUGUAUAGGUAAUAUGCCUCUUACUAAGGGAUAACAAUUGGAAACGAUUGCUAAUACCUUAUACUCCUUAUUAACAGAAGUUAAUAAGGGAAAGAUUUAUUGGUAAGAGAUUAGCCUGUAUUGUAUCAGUUAGUUGGUGGGGUAAUGGCUUACCAAGACUAUGACACAUAACUGGUUUGAGAGGAUGAUCAGUCACACUGGAACUGAGACACGGUCCAGACUCC